UACGGGGGGGGCAAGCGUUGUUCGGAAUUACUGGGCGUAAAGGGCUCGUAGGCGGCCAACUAAGUCGGAUGUGAAAUCCCCAGGCUCAACCUGGGAACUGCAUCCGAUACUGGAUGGCUUGAAUUCGGGAGAGGGAUGCAGAAUUCCAGGUGUAGCGGUGAAAUGCGUAGAUAUCUGGAGGAAUACCGGUGGCGAAGGCGGCAUCCUGGACCAACACUGACGCUGAGUGAGCGAAAGCCAGGGGAGCAAACGGG
rnacentral:rRNA from 1 species